GCGUUCCUGCGCGGUGCGACGGAGCUUCAAAUAUCCCCGGGGCCUUAUCGAUCCUCAUGGGAGCUGUCCCUGACUAGGCCCCUGGGCCUGGAUAUACGGCGCCCACCUACGUUGUAGGUUCCCGGGAUCGAUCGCUGCCGACGGCUAAGCGGUGCGCC
rnacentral:other from 1 species